UUUUUAUCUUUGUAAUCUUACAUAUUUAUUUCCAAUUUUGUAGAUGUCGCAGCUCAUUAGAAGCCGGAAGGUGAUGACGACUAUACCUCGUCCAACGAUUACACCUCCUACUGCUGUAGUCACUGCUUCGGCAGAGAUGGACCAUAUGCCUGUGAAUUCGGUUGACCUAGUUGGUCCCUGAGUCCCAUAGACGCCGGCGUCUUCGACUUCUUCGAUGGCACUACUUGUUAGUGCCCGACGUGAUCAGUGGCGCUCCCGCACUCCGGAGCAGAUGUCGCCAUCGGGAUCCACAACCAAUGCCUCGGGUUCACAGCCAACCCAGAAAAACACCCAGGGACCUUGUUAGUAGUUGAAGACGGCGAAGGUCACCCAGGUGACCAACAAUCGUAUCACAAUCGGAUACGAUGAGCGACAUCGGGCUGCACCAACGGCGGAGCAGCAUAGCGCAUUGGCCC
rnacentral:sRNA from 1 species